GAUGAACGCUGGCGGCGUGCCUAAUACAUGCAAGUCGAGCGAACGGACGAGAAGCUUGCUUCUCUGAUGUUAGCGGCGGACGGGUGAGUAACACGUGGAUAACCUACCUAUAAGACUGGGAUAACUUCGGGAAACCGGAGCUAAUACCGGAUAAUAUUAUGAACCGCAUGGUUCAAAAGUGAAAGACGGUCUUGCUGUCACUUAUAGAUGGAUCCGCGCUGCAUUAGCUAGUUGGUAAGGUAACGGCUUACCAAGGCAACGAUGCAUAGCCGACCUGAGAGGGUGAUCGGCCACACUGGAACUGAGACACGGUCCAGACUCCUACGGGAGGCAGCAGUAGGGAAUCUUCCGCAAAGGGCGAAAGCCUGACGGAGCAACGCCGCGUGAGUGAUGAAGGUCUUCGGAUCGUAAAACUCUGUUAUUAGGGAAGAACAUAUGUGUAAGUAACUGAGCACAUCUUGACGGUACCUAAUCAGAAAGCCACGGCUAACUACGUG
rnacentral:rRNA from 1 species